rnacentral:rRNA from 1 species
GAUGAACGCUGGCGGCGUGCCUAAUACAUGCAAGUCGAGCGAACGGACGAGAAGCUUGCUUUUCUGAUGUUAGCGGCGGACGGGUGAGUAACACGUGGAUAACCUACCUAUAAGACUGGGAUAACUUCGGGAAACCGGAGCUAAUACCGGAUAAUAUUUUGAACCGCAUGGUUCAAAAGUGAAAGACGGUCUUGCUGUCACUUAUAGAUGGAUCCGCGCUGCAUUAGCUAGUUGGUAAGGUAACGGCUUACCAAGGCAACGAUGCAUAGCCGACCUGAGAGGGUGAUCGGCCACACUGGAACUGAGACACGGUCCAGACUCCUACGGGAGGCAGCAGUGGGGAAUAUUGCACAAUGGGCGGAAGCCUGAUGCAGCAACGCCGCGUGCGGGAUGACGGCCUUCGGGUUGUAAACCGCUUUCGCCUGUGACGAAGCGUGAGUGACGGUAAUGGGUAAAGAAGCACCGGCUAACUACGUG